AAACUCAGAGAAAGAUGAACAAAUAAAAUGGCCUCAGGGGAAAUAGGAAUAACGCAAGAAACAAAAAAGAACGAAAAAAUAGUUUUUUAUACUCUAUUUAUACCUUCCCAGGGAUUCAAGGGGGCAUUGGAUGCAUCAAAUACAACUGGAUGGUAUGAGGAAAAAAGAAACAGAGACCCAGAGAGAGCUCUUGAAAAUUCAAGAAAUAUAUAUGCUUUUAAAUUUAAUAGAAUUGUUGGCCGGGCACGGUGGCUCUUGCCUGUAAUCCUGGCACUCUGGGAGGCCAAAGCGGGCGGAUCACCUGAGGUCAGGAGUUCAAGACUAGCCUGGCCAACAUAGUGAAACCCCAUCUCUACUAAAAAUACAAAAAUUAGCCAGGUGUGGUGGCACACGCCUGUAAUCCCAGCUACUCAGGAGGCUGAGGCAGGAGAAUCACUUGAACCCAGGAGGCGGAGGUUGCAGUGAGCUGAGAUUGUGCCACUGUACUCCAGCCUAGGUGACAGAGCAAGACUCCAUCUCAAAACAAACAAAAAAUUUUAAUAGACUUUUAAAAUUAAGGAAAUUUCUCAGAGUGAAAUAAAAAUAUAAGGAGGUAGAAAACAUAAGACAUAAAGAAUCAAUCCAAGAAAUAAAAAAUCCAACAAAUGGGAAUUCCUGCAAAAACAAAUAAAAAUGGAAAAGAUGAAUUAUUUAAAGUUACAAUAAAACAUUUCUCAUAAAGUUCAAAAUUUUCCAUAUUGAAAGAGCUAUGUACCCAGAAAAUGAAUGAAAAAAUUAUCUACACUCAGGUACAGCAUCCUAACAUUUUUGAACACAGGGAUAAAGAGAUCUAAAGCUUUCAGAUGGGAGCAAAAUGAAAAUAAAGAAAAAAAGGUCAAAAAGGAAUGAGAAUCAGAAUGACUUCAGAAUUCUCAGCAAUACUAGAUGCUAGAGGACAAUGGAGAAAUGCUUCAACUGCUCAGAGAACUGAACUUUCCAUCUAGAAUUCUAUAUAGGCUGAACUAUCACUUUUAAGGAUAUAAUAAAGACAUAUGGAGAUACAUAGGAGUCAGAAUACCUUCAUCAUCUGCACUGUUCCUUAGGUAGUUACCUGGAGAGUGUGCCCCAGAAAAACAAGGAAAUACACCAUUAAAGAGGACUUUCAAAGAGACUGGACUUCAUGCAGAAAGCCGUGAAAGGAAGUCAGACGACAGAUGUCCAGCAGGCUUGCACACUAGCAGACCACACUGAAGUAGGAUAAUAGAGGGCCUUGAAAGGAAGUCUCUGGGGAAAGGAGGAGACCAGGUGAAAGAGAGACUAGAUAAAUAUUAGGGAAGGAUAAAGGCAGUUAGAAACUGAGGAAAAGAAAAGGUGUGGCUGGGAGUGGUGGCUCACACCUGUAAUCCCAGCACUUUGGGAGGCCACGGCGGGCGGAUCACCUGAGGUCAGGAGAUCGAGACCAGCCUGGGCAACAUGGUAAAACCCUGUCUCUACUAAAAAUACAAAAAUUAGCCAGGUGUGGUGGCGUGCACCUGUAAUCCCAGCUACUCGGGAGGCUGAGACAGGAGAAUCGCUUGAACUUGGGAAUCAGACGUUGUAGUGAGCCAAGAUCGCGCCACUGCACUCCAGCCUGGGCGACAGAGUGAGACCCUGUCUCAAAAAAAAAAAAAAAAGAGGGAGUCCAUAUGUGUUACCAUUGUGCAAAAAGCAAAGGAGCUAUGCUGCUCUGCCUAUGGAGUAGCCUUUCUUUUGUUUCUUUACUUUCUUAAUAAACUUGCUUUCACUUU
rnacentral:lncRNA from 10 species